rnacentral:lncRNA from 1 species
AAUCCAAGCGCCUUCUAAGCGUCAUGGUACGAAUAAUUUUUUUUUGAAGAACAAGCACCUCAUUAAUUCGUGAGCAAUUUCCCCAACAAACUAAGUAAUAUUGUAAAAUUGACUGUACAUGAGCAAAAUAGUAAAGUUUUAAGAUAUCUAGGGAGACAAAAUUCCUAAGUUGCCAUAGAACAUAACAGUGCACAGACAAUCUUCCCACUACAUAAUCAACGUGAGAGCUCCAAGACAAAUUAGAAUCCAGUAGAAGACAGUUUGCUUUUUGUAC